rnacentral:ribozyme from 1 species
ACUCGAUACCGCGAGUAUAAACAGAACUUAGGCGGUAUGCGGCGGUCACAGUUUCAUAACGGAUAAUAUAUACUGUGACCGCGUGUUA